CGAAGACCCAGAGAAUCUCCUAGGUUCUCCCUUUGCUGGCGACCUCAUCCACCAUCAAAACCUCCGCCAGGGUCCUGGCUGAGUCAUCAUCCAUCACAGCAGGCUGGUACAACAUCACAGUGGAGGACAAUUCUCUAGGGACCACAGAGGAUAUGAAUGUGACCUGGGUUAGCAAAGGCCUCCCCAAGAAGCUGGAGCAGAGUGGGGCACCAGGAUCAGCCCCCAAUCCCUGGACCUUGGCUGUGAGCCUGCCUGAGCCUGAGCCAGUGCAAUGCCGGUCUUCUGUAUGUGGUCAGAAACUUCAGACACCAGAAAACUGUCACCUUAGAUGUUGGAAGAGUCUGUUGAGCUUAACAAAUUGCCAGCAAGCCCCUACAGUUACAUUUCUGCAAAGCAAUGUUCUUCAGGUGGGGAAAUAAAGAACUUCCACCUCUAGCCAGAGAAGAAGCCCAGACCACAUGCGUAAGAGACUUUGCAUUUUGGCAACUGACUGACUCCACCUGGACUCAUGACUCAACUGGUCUUGUGGCCCCCAACCAAGAGCUGGGCUCAGCACAUGAGGAUGGUUUUCCACACCCCUAUGAUUGCAUCCCCAACCAAUCAGUAGCACUCAUUCCUGAGUCCCGUACCCACCAAACUAUCCUUGAAAAACCUUAA
rnacentral:lncRNA from 1 species